GAUGAACGCUGGCGGCGUGCCUAAUACAUGCAAGUAGAACGCACAGGAUACACCGUAGUUUACUACACCGUAUUCUGUGAGUUGCGAACGGGUGAGUAACGCGUAGGUAACCUGCCUGGUAGCGGGGGAUAACUAUUGGAAACGAUAGCUAAUACCGCAUAAGAACAUUUACUGCAUGGUAGAUGUUUAAAAGGUGCAAAUGCAUCACUACCAGAUGGACCUGCGUUGUAUUAGCUAGUAGGUGAGGUAACGGCUCACCUAGGCGACGAUACAUAGCCGACCUGAGAGGGUGAUCGGCCACACUGGGACUGAGACACGGCCCAGACUCCUACGGGAGGCAGCAGUAGGGAAUCUUCGGCAAUGGGGGGAACCCUGACCGAGCAACGCCGCGUGAGUGAAGAAGGUUUUCGGAUCGUAAAGCUCUGUUGUUAAGGAAGAACGAGUGUGAGAAUGGAAAGUUCAUACUGUGACGGACUAACCAGAAAGGACGCA
rnacentral:rRNA from 1 species